rnacentral:tRNA from 1 species
CUUUAGUGCAAUAGGCAGUAUUUCAGUCUUGAAAGCUGAAGGUCCUGAGUUCAAAUCUCAGAAG